CCAUUAGGUAAUGGGUGCAGCCAGAUCCAAAAUCUCUCCAUUCUAAUCCAGACCACAAUUUUCAUUAUUCUCACCGGAUCUCCUAACCAAAGAUCCGAUUUCUGAUUUCUGAUCUCCGAUCUGACGGAGAAACCCUGACACUCCGAUGGCGGGAGCCGCCUAGGCCCUAUUCCUUCUCGAUAUCAAAGGUAGUGUUCUCGUUUGGCUCGACUACCGUGGAGACGUCUUUGCCGUUCAAGCCGAACGCUUCUUCACCAAGCUAAUCGAGAAAGAGGGCGAUCCGAAAUAACAAGAUCCAGUUGUACAUGACAAUGGAGUUACCUAUUUGUUUAUUCGGCAUAAUAAUAUUUAUUUGAUGACGGCUUCUAGACAGAACUGCAACGCUGCAAGCCUUAUCUUCUUUCUUCAUCAUGUAGUUGAUCUAAGGACUAGUGAUCCUCGUUUUAUCUUUUUCUUUCUUGCUUGUUUUGAAUUCAGAUUGGUUUUGUGGUUUAUUUGGACAGGUUUUUAAGCAAUAUUUUGAAGAGCUGGAGGAAGAAUCACGGAGAGAUAACUUUGUUGUUGUGUAUGAAUUGCUUGAUGAGAUGAUGGACUUUGGUUACCUUCAGUAUACAUAAGCAAAGAUUCUCAGUGAAUUUUUUAAGAUUGAUGCUUACAGGAUGGAAGUUGGUCAGAGGCCACCCAUGCCUGUGACAAAUGUUGUAUCUUGGCGUAGCGAGGGCAUACAAUAUAAGAAAAAUGAAGUAAGCCAUGUUCUUUUAAAAGCACACACUUAUGAUGACAUUUUGUGAGAUUUUGUUAUGAAUCUUUGCUAUUUUUAGGUCUUCUGAGUGUUAAUAUACUUGUCAACAUCCAUGGCCAAAUUAUUAGGUCAGAUGUUAUUGGGGAAUUAACUAUGAGAACUUAUUUAAGGUGCAUUUUCUCCCUCAUUCAGUUAUUUAAUUAUAAUGUUUAAACAUGCAUACUAAAAUGAUGUCUGAGCUCUUUCCUAUCUUGUACACUUACACAUCAAAGCUGUAUGCAUGAUUGGACUUUAUAUCUCUUAGAUUCUUUGUAUAUUUUAUAACAUAAAGAAAGGCAAUUCCGAGAGGUUGCAGUUGCAAUAAAGUUACAGAAGAGAGUUGAAAAUAUAUAUGGUGUUCUGGUAUUUCAGUUUCUAGAAUGUACACAACUUAUAGCUAGAUGCUCUAAAACUAUAAAACCAGAUCAGGGUAAUAACAGGUGAGUCGAACUUUUCCUCCUCAUUUUUCUAUAGGAUAUUCAUCACAUAACUUCUGCACAUAUCACCCUCUUUGAUACAAGCUCCUAUUGGUUAUCGAUUAUGGCAUCAAAUUUAGGAAGAAGCAGCUAAAGGAAAGGUAAUUUUUGUUCUGUUGAAAAUUUCCCCCGCUUUAUUGAUAAGUUAUUCUUAUAUUAAUUUGUUUCUUUCUU